UUACAUUCUCUCAGCUCCUGCUUUUAGACCAGCUCGUCUUCCGGGUCAGUGUCGGUCUGUUCCGGGUCUGUUCCCGGUCUGUUCCCCGUCAGUGUCGGCGGCUCGGUCCUGCGCUUCGUCCAUGGUCGGUGCCGGUGAAUCUGUGAAGGUUGGAGCCGCUCAGUCAUGGGCCUGAAACAGUUCUGGCAGAACUACAAAGUUUUGAUCGUGAUGGGCCCGAGCCUGGGUCUCAUCCACUGGGGCUGGUUCAACCUGAAGUCGAGUUCAGCGCUGCGUUCGGCCAGAGACGAGUUCAUUCCCGAGCCCGGCAUCGUGACCUACGUUUUAAACUCAUCAGCUCCCCCUGCUGCCAAGACCAAGUAAAACAGACUAAGGAUGAAGCCUCGGAGCUGGAUCAGGAGGAACUGGCUGUGGGCGGCCGGAGGUGCCUUCCUCGCUGUCCACUUGGCCACCUGGCUCAUGCAGCGAGCCAUGAGGAGCGCGGUUCGCUCCGAGGCGGCGCUUAGACACAAAGCUGUCGAGGAGAAACUGGACUGAUGGCCAAUCAGGAGGACUAUUGAUUGAUCGAUUAUGGGUCAUAGAUAAAUAAAAUACUUUUUGUUUCCUCUGAGAUUCAAUGA